AGUGCGAUAAGGGGACCCCAAGUGCGAGGGCAUAUAGUCCUCGCUUUUUCCGACCGUAAGGUGGUCGGCGAAUAAGGGCUGGGCAAGACCGGUGCCAGCCGCCGCGGUAAUACCGGCAGCCCAAGUGAUGACCGAUAUUAUUGGGCCUAAAGCGUCCGUAGCCGGCCACGAAGGUUCAUCGGGAAAUCCGCCAGCUUAACUGGCGGGCGUCCGGUGAAAACCACGUGGCUUGGGACCGGAAGGCUCGAGGGGUACGUCCGGGGUAGGAGUGAAAUCCCGUAAUCCUGGACGGACCACCGAUGGCGAAAGCACCUCGAGAAGACGGAUCCGACGGUGAGGGACGAAAGCUAGGGUCUCGAACCGGAUUAGAUACCCGGGUAGUCCUAGCUGUAAACGAUGCUCGCUAGGUGUGGCACAGGCUACGAGCCUGUGCUGUGCCGUAGGGAAGCCGAGAAGCGAGCCGCCUGGGAAGUACGUCCGC
rnacentral:rRNA from 1 species